rnacentral:rRNA from 1 species
UUAAAACAGUUAUAGUUUAUUUGAUGGUCACUUUUACAUGGAUAACCAUGGUAAUUCUAUGGCUAAUACAUGCGCACUCGCCUCCUUCUCUGGAGGGGCUGUGUUUAUUAGAUACAAAACCAACCCACUUUGUGGAGUCCUGGUGAUUCAUAGUAACCGAACGGAUCGCAGUUGGCUUCGGCCCGCGAUAUAUCUUUCAAGUUUCUGACCUAUCAGCUUUCGACGGUAGGGUAUUGGCCUACCGUGGCAGUGACGGGUAACGGGGAAUUAGGGUUCGAUUCCGGAGAGGGAGCCUGAGAAACGGCUACCACAUCUAAGGAAGGCAGCAGGCGCGCAAAUUACCCAAUGAAAACAGCUUCGAGGUAGUGACGAGAAAUAACAAUACAGGGCAUUUUUUGUUCUGUAAUUGGAAUGAUGGGAAUGUAAAACCCUUUCAGAGUAACAAUUGGAGGGCAAGUCUGGUGCCAGCAGCCGCGGUAAUUCCAGCUCCAAUAGUGUAUAUUAGAGUUGUUGCAGUUAAAAAGCUCGUAGUUGGAUUUCUGUCGUGGUCAUCCGGUUCCGCCCGUAUGGGUGUGCACCUGGUUUGCCCUCGGCUUUCUUCCGUUUGCCUCUUGGCGCUUCAUUGCGUCUUUUGGUUUUUCGGAACUUUUACUUUGAGAAAAAUAGAGUGUUUCAAGCAGGCUUGUCGCCCUGAAUACUUCAGCAUGGAAUAAUAAGAUAGGACCUUGGUUCUAUUUUGUUGGUUUCUAGGACUAAGGUAAUGAUUAAUAGGGACAGUUGGGGGCAUUCGUAUUUAACUGUCAGAGGUGAAAUUCUUAGAUUUGUUAAAGACGAACUACUGCGAAAGCAUUUGCCAAGGAUGUUUUCAUUAAUCAAGAACGACAGUAGGGGGUUUGAAGACGAUUAGAUACCGUCGUAAUCUCUACCAUAAACUAUGCCGACUAGAGAUAGGGAAAUGCCUACCUUGGCUUCUCCUGCACCUCAUGAGAAAUCAAAGUCUCUGGGUUCUGGGGGGAGUAUGGUCGCAAGGCUGAAACUUAAAGGAAUUGACGGAAGGGCACCACCAGGCGUGGAGCCUGCGGCUUAAUUUGACUCAACACGGGGAAACUCACCAGGUCCAGACAUGGGAAGGAUUGACAGAUUGAUAGCUCUUUCUUGAUUCUAUGGGGUGGUGGUGCAUGGCCGUUCUUAGUUGGUGGGAGUGAUCUGUCUGGGUUAAUUUCGAUAACGAACGAGACCUUAGCCUGCUAAAUAGGAUCGGGGAAUUUUGUUUCCGCAUCACUUCUUAGAGGGACUUUUGCGUGUCUAACGCAAAGGAAGUUUGAGGCAAUACAAGGUCUGUGAUGCCCUU